UACGGGGGGGGUAAGCGUUGUUCGGAAUUACUGGGCGUAAAGGGCUCGUAGGCGGCCAACUAGGUCAGACGUGAAAUCCCUCAGCUUAACUGGGGAACUGCGUCUGAUACUGGAUGGCUUGGAUUCGGGAGAGGAAUGCGGAAUUCCAGGUGUAGCGGUGAAAUGCGUAGAUAUCUGGAGGAACACCGGUGGCGAAGGCGGCAUUCUGGACCGAUAUUGACGCUGAGGAGCGAAAGCCAGGGGAGCAAACGGG
rnacentral:rRNA from 1 species